rnacentral:rRNA from 1 species
CACGGGGGGAGCAAGCGUUGUUCGGAUUUACUGGGCGUAAAGGCGCGUAGGCGGCCAGCACAAGUCAGUUGUGAAAUCUCCGGGCUUAACUCGGAAAGGUCAACUGAUACUGUGCGGCUAGAGUGCAGAAGGGGCAACUGGAAUUCUCGGUGUAGCGGUGAAAUGCGUAGAUAUCGAGAGGAACACCUGCGGCGAAGGCGGGUUGCUGGGCUGACACUGACGCUGAUGCGCGAAAGCGUGGGGAGCAAACAGG